GGCACAGGUUAGUGUCUACGGCUUCGAAGAACAGCAUAUUUCAAGUAAAAGAAAAAAGCAUAUAGCCGGGCAUAAGACAAAUUGGGAUACUGUAUGUAAUGUAUUUUUACAUUAAGAGGGCUUCUUUGUUUAACAUAGAACCUAGAUAGUACGUAUUGAAAUCCGACACUUACGACUCCGAGCCCCGUCACGCGAUCUCCCGCAAUCAGCAUCAGCGCACGCGAACAAGGUGUACCCGUAGAAGACGCGCACGCGGAUUUGAUAGACUAUUUGACUAUCAAAACGAAACGUCAAACCCUAAGUGGCGUACAAAAAUUACAUUUAACGUCCCAGAAAUCAACAUAGAGAUCUUACAAUAUUAGAUUAACUUUAUUGAUUCCAAUAGGAAUUCUUGUGCAGAUAGUAAUAGCAAACAUAUAAUUAAUAUUAUAUACAUACAGUACAUGGGCAGUGGUGGCCUAAUGGUCACGAUGUCCCAUAUGGGUUAAAUGCAGAGGACACAUUUCUUUGUUGUGCACUGUGUGUCAUCACUGAUCACCUUAUUCUAAAUUCCACAUAUAAGGUAUUGUACCUCUGUGCAGAAUCUACGCACCUCCCCAAAUGUCAGGCUGUGUAUGCUGUAUGAAACAAGGUUACACUUCAAACACAGCAGAAAAGAGUGUUCUACAAAUUAUGCUGUAUUUUUAUACAUAUAUUACAGGUUCAACAGAAGUCUUACGUAAAGCAAAAAAGUUGUUGCGGCGUUAUGUACAAUAUGAAUGAAGUUAAGUUAUUUGUUUAUAUAGCACAUUUAAAAACAAUGUGUGGAGGAUAUUCUUGUUCACACAGGACACCGAAUCUGUUUUCCAGUUGAAUUUCUGAUGGUGGUGCAGCGUUAUCACAUUUACAGUACCAGCACCGUCCAUGGCGUGGAGCUAGCCGAUGCCUUGGACUUAACUUCUAGUUUGGACCAGGGCUCAGAUGAUCUGACCGUGACUGCAGAGCAUGGGACGGCCUCAGGGUGGAGUGCCAUGUGUCAGGAUGAUGACUUCCUACUCCAGAAGAAGCACAGGGAGAUGGGAGACACGUCCACUGCAGUCAUCGUGAUGCAGAAGCCCAGACCUUAAGGAUUCAACCUGGUCAGUCACAGCAGGACCAGAACACCACCUGGACCAUAAACACAUCGAGCCGCCCAAACCCCAGCCGCCUCCCUCACCUCCACCUCCUUCAUCUUCUCCAUGGUGAUGAGGCGCCGGGACGUGUGACUGGACAGGGUCUGCUCACAGUUGCUGACUAGCCUGAGGCAGGGGUGCAGGGGGACAAUCUC